AAGAAAACCUAAGGAAAAGCUGCUAACUCUUUCCAUAAGCAAAUAACUAUGCUAUUUUCUU
rnacentral:tRNA from 1 species